GGCAAAAGAGAGCUUGAUUGCAAGACAUACAGGUCGAGCAAGGAUGAAAAUCGGACUUAGUGAUCCGGUGGUUCUGCGUGGAAGGGCCAUCGCUCAACGGAUAAAAGCUACCCUGGGGAUAACAGGCUUAUCUCCCCCAAGAGUCCACAUCGACGGGGAGGUUUGGCACCUCGAUGUCGGCUCAUCACAUCCUGGGGCUGUAGUAGGUCCCAAGGGUUGGGCUGUUCGCCCAUUAAAGUGGUACGCGAGCUGGGUUCAGAACGUCGUGAGACAGUUCGGUCCCUAUCCGUCGCAGGCGUAGGAAAUUUGAGAAGACCUGUCCUUAGUACGAGAGGACCGGGAUGGACGUACCUCUGGUGUACCAGUUGUCCUGCCAAGGGCAUGGCUGGGUAGCUAUGUACGGAAUGGAUAAGCGCUGAAAGCAUCUAAGCGCGAAGCCAACUUCAAGAUAAGAUUUCCCACCGCAAGGGUAAGACCCCAGAAAGACUAUCUGGUUGAUAGGUCGAAGGUGUAAGUGCAGCAAUGUAUUUAGCUUAUCGAUACUAAUAGGUCGAGGACUUGACCAAU
rnacentral:rRNA from 1 species